UACGUAGGGUGCGAGCGUUGUCCGGAAUUACUGGGCGUAAAGAGCUCGUAGGUGGUUUGUCGCGUUGUUCGUGAAAACCGGGGGCUUAACCCUCGGCGUGCGGGCGAUACGGGCAGACUGGAGUACUGCAGGGGAGACUGGAAUUCCUGGUGUAGCGGUGGAAUGCGCAGAUAUCAGGAGGAACACCGGUGGCGAAGGCGGCGUUCUGGACUGUUACUGACACUGAGGAACGAAAGCCAGGGGAGCAAACGGG
rnacentral:rRNA from 1 species